rnacentral:rRNA from 1 species
CACGUAGGCGGACUUUUAAGUCAGGGGUGAAAUCCCAGGGCUCAACCCCGGAACUGCCUUUGAUACUGGAAGUCUGGAGUUCGAGAGAGGUGAGUGGAAUUCCGAGUGUAGAGGUGAAAUUCGUAGAUAUUCGGAGGAACACCAGUGGCGAAGGCGGCUCACUGGCUCGAUACUGACGCUGAGGUGCGAAAGCGUGGGGAGCAAACA